UGUCACGCCAGUUGCAAGUCAUCAGCGUGCAGUGUCUGAGCAUGUUCAAUCGGCUCAAGUUCUGUGAAAAUUGAUUAAAAAAGUAGUUUUCAAAGUGAUUUGGUAAAGGACAUUUAUAAGGAAGACCUCCUGCUACAAUCGCCUUAAGGACAACUAAAUAGUCAAACGAUUUGGCUCAGGUUCUGCAAGGAUUUCCUGCAAAAUCCGGGAAUAUCAGUGGUGUUGGUGCAAGUCUCGUUAGAGCUCCAGACAACAGCAGUCCAUGUCCGUUAAGCGGGUGAUCCCAAUAUCCGUACAUUUACAUCGUUGACCCUUUGAUAGAUAUUCAAACCGAAGAGGUUUCGAAACUACUAGAGCUGUCACCAAAAUAUUGUUUUCAACAAGUGAUGCACUAAUUCAGAAUAUUAAAUGCAAACACAGGAAUGGCAAAAUUUUUCGAGUACACAGCCGACAAUUUCUUUAAAAAAAAAUGGAGCGUUGAAUAGAUUUAAAAAGCACCUGAAGAGCGACCGCAGCAAUAUCAAUUACAGUAAUCUGCCCUUGAGGUCGGAUUAGUGUAUUAUCAGCAAUACCCAAAUUUUAUCACAGAGGAGAGUAUACAGAAUAUGGAAAAAAUGACAACGUUAAAAGUCUUCAGAUCUACACUUUAGAUCAAGUCAACUUCAAUUCUUCAGAUGAACUCCAGAUCAAUUCUGCACAUAUGCAGAAAUCUUUGACGCCUACUUUAGAAAUUUUGAGGAAGAUUUUGAAAAUCAUUCGCUAAAAAUAAUACUUCGCCUACAUAAUUUUGACCACUUUAACAUAGACAGGAUGUUUUAUUAAUUUAAAGUCUCAUCUCUGUUACUUAAAACUCAUGUCAAACAAUUGAGAGUUUGUGACAAAAAUUCUUCAGAUUUGUAUCAGAUGUCGUUUACUGGACUACGCCUUUGAAGGAUUUUCUUCUGAAUACAAAUAUAUAUGCGAAAAAA